rnacentral:pre_miRNA from 7 species
CUGCAGUGAGAUAUAUGUUCAAGCAGGCUGCUGGCUAUAUUCCAGAACUCAUCUGGUCCUGGAUAUAACCAAAGUCUUAUUGUAUGAUGCUAAAG